rnacentral:lncRNA from 1 species
UGUACCCCUGCUGUCAGAAACUCUCUGUGCUCUGUGCUGUCAUGUACCCCUGCUGUCAGAAACUCUCAGGGCUCUGUGCUGUCAUGUACCCCUGCUGUCAGAAACUCUCUGUGCUCUGUGCUGUCAUGUACCCCUGCUGUCAGAAACUCUCUGUGCUCUGUGCUGUCAUGUACCCCUGCUGUCAGAAACUCUCAGGGCUCUGUGCUGUCAUGUACCCCUCCUGUCAGAAACUCUCUGCGCUCUGUGCUGUCAUGUAAAAGAUUAACUCAGUGGCUUGAGUGGUGCAGAGCAGAGAGAGGAGAAACCACAGCGUUCAGGGGUGUGAGGAAGUGGUUUUCCAUUUUAUCUUCUUCUCAGUGUGGUAGUUCCAUAUCAUCUGGAACAUCUGUAUCACUUAUUCUUGCACAUUACACAUCCAUCCUGCCGUCUUCUAAACACUUCAUCCAAUUCAGGGUUGUGGGGGAGGCAGACUCUCUCUCUCCUGCACCAGGCACCAGGCAGGGUACACCCUGGAUGGGACAUCAGUCCAUCACAGGACACACACUGGCACAGACACACACACUCACACCUGACAGUCACACACCAGACACACACACACACUCACACCUGACAGUCACACACCAGACACACACACACACACACACACACCUGACAGUCACACACCAGACACACACAUACACACACUCACACCAGACACACAGUCACAGACACACCCUCACACCAGACACACAGACACACUGUCACCAGUCACGCCAGUCUCACACACUCAUGCCUGACAGGCAGUAGGAGGAGACUGGAGCCCCUGUGUGAAAGUGCUGGGCUUUGUGCCGGGACGUCUAGAAAUCGCCACAGGGCCUCUCUCAUCAGCCCGAGAGGCCGGCGCGCUGUGGGCUCACAGCUGUCCCUCUGUCUCCCAGAUGAGGGGCUCUUCCGGAGGCCGAGGAGGGCCGCAGGGGGCCGCUGAGCCGCAGACGGAGCUCCGUGUCCGGUCCAGAGCCCUCGAGCGCUGGUCGUCGCCCUGAAGCCCUGGCCACGCGGCCUUGCUCGACAGCGCUGCGGCGCACUGCUUCUGCUCUCUGUCACGCUAUUAAAAAUUAUAUUGUGGGAUUCAAACGAGUUCG